AUGCACACGCAACGAUCAGAACCACUAUCGCAACACCUUCAAGUCAGCUACACUCACAGUCCAAUCCAAUGAACAUUCUUCAUUUGAACUUCCAUGGCUUGCAUUGGACUUCCUAUUGUCGAAAUGAAAACUGAAGAAAUUUCAACUGUUCAACUUGUUAUCAAGAUCCUAAAAAUGUUACCAUAUGUAUUCCAUUACAAUAUAAACUUCAAAAUCUAUAAAACUCAUAUCAAUAUAAAUAAAUUAUAAAUUAUUA